GGGGCAACCUGGCGGCGAGUGGCGAACGGGUGAGUAAUAUAUCGGAACGUACCCUGGAGUGGGGGAUAACGUAGCGAAAGUUACGCUAAUACCGCAUACGAUCUAAGGAUGAAAGUGGGGGAUCGCAAGACCUCAUGCUCCUGGAGCGGCCGAUAUCUGAUUAGCUAGUUGGUAGGGUAAAAGCCUACCAAGGCAUCGAUCAGUAGCUGGUCUGAGAGGACGACCAGCCACACUGGGACUGAGACACGGCCCAGACUCCUACGGGAGGCAGCAGUUAGGAAUCUUGGACAAUGGGCGCAAGCCUGAUCCAGCCAUGCCGCGUGAGUGAUGAAGGCCUUAGGGUUGUAAAGCUCUUUCAGCGGGGAAGAUAAUGACGGUACCCGCAGAAGAAGCCCCGGCUAACUUCGUGCCAGCAGCCGCGGUAAUACGAAGGGGGCUAGCGUUGCUCGGAAUCACUGGGCGUAAAGCGCACGUAGGCGGAUCUUUAAGUCAGGGGUGAAAUCCUGGAGCUCAACUCCAGAACUGCCUUUGAUACUGGGGAUCUCGAGUCCGGAAGAGGUGAGUGGAACUCCGAGUGUAGAGGUGAAAUUCGUAGAUAUUCGGAAGAACACCAGUGGCGAAGGCGGCUCACUGGUCCGGUACUGAAAGUGAGGUGCGAAAGCGUGGGGAGCAAA
rnacentral:rRNA from 1 species